GGGAGUGUGUAAGUAAAGCCCUAUCCCACAGCAUGUGGAUGGGGACUGGAGCAUCUGGAGUCAGUGGAGCCAGUGCAGUAGAACCUGUGGCACCGGAGCUCAGUUCAGACAGAGGAAAUGUGACAACCCGCCGCCAGGUCCUGGUGGUAGUAACUGUCAGAAGGCCAGUGUGGAACAUAAAGUGUGUGAAGGUCCUCCCUGCCCUAAAGGAACACCCAGCUUCAGAGAGCUGCAGUGUCUCUCCCAUGACCGCCAGGCCGGAAAGAAGAAGAACAGCAUAUGGACCGCAGUCAAUAACGAUGAGAAGCCAUGUGCCCUGUUCUGUUCCCCUGUGGGGAGAGAUGCCCCCAUCCUGGUGGCAGAGAGAGUGAUGGAUGGAACACCAUGUGGACCC